GGGGGUGUAGUGAAGUGGUAUCAUGCUUCUCUCCAAAAGAAGCGUCGUAGGUUCGAUUCCUACCGCCGCUGCCA
rnacentral:tRNA from 1 species